GGAAGAGAGACAAGAGUGGGGGCGGAUCAUCGCUGCCAGGAUUCUGGCUCCCCAUUCAUUUCUGGCACACACAGUCUCCAAGUAUAAUUAACAGGGGAAGGGAGCCUUUGUUCAGCAAGCUUAAAGAAAAAACAUCCUCCCCUCCCCCCAUGGUGACUUAAAGGUUGCUGUAAGAGCUAGCCACCCGUUGUUUGCCAAGUUCAUGGAGACCUCUGGGAAUGAAACAGCAGGGAAAGAGGAGCUUCUGGACAAUGGUGGGGUAUAACAUCACAGGCUGGUUGGAGAAGAACAAGGACGCCUUGAAUGAAACUGGUGGGCUUGUUCCAGAAAUCCAGCAUGGUGCUACUUAAUACGCUCUUUAAAGAAGAGGAGGCUGCAGCUGGAGCUAAGAAGCAAAAAAGAGGGUCGUCCUUCGUGACUGUCUCCAACUUCUACAGGGUAAGACCCUCCCCCAAGCCCUCUGCCCCAACCCUAAUGCAUUC
rnacentral:lncRNA from 1 species